rnacentral:rRNA from 1 species
CGGCACGGGUGAGUAACACGUAUCCAACCUGCCGUCUACUCUUGGACAGCCUUCUGAAAGGAAAGAUUAAUACAAGAUGGCAUCAUGAGUCCGCAUGUUCACAUGAUUAAAGGUAUUCCGGUAGACGAUGGGGAUGCGUUCCAUUAGAUAGUAGGCGGGGUAACGGCCCACCUAGUCUUCGAUGGAUAGGGGUUCUGAGGGGAAGGUCCCCCACAUUGGAACUGAGACACGGUCCAA